CCUACGGGCCGCACCAGUGGGGAAUAUCGCACAAUGGGCGCAAGCCUGAUGCAGCCAUGCCGCGUGUAUGAAGAAGGCCUUCGGGUUGUAAAGUACUUUCAGCGGGGAGGAAGGCGAUAAGGUUAAUAACCUUGCCGAUUGACGUUACCCGCAGAAGAAGCACCGGCUAACUCCGCGCCAGCAGCCGCGGUAAUACGGAGGGUGCAAGCGUUAAUCGGAAUUACUGGGCGUAAAGCGCACGCAGGCGGUCUGUCAAGUCGGAUGUGAAAUCCCCGGGCUCAACCUGGGGACUGCAUUCGAAACUGGCAGGCUAGAGUCUUGUAGAGGGGGGUAGAAUUCCAGGUGUAGCGGUGAAAUGCGUAGAGAUCUGGAGGAAUACCGGUGGCGAAGGCGGCCCCCUGGACAUAGACUGACGCUCAGGUGCGAAAGCGUGGGGAGCAAACAGGAUUAGAUACCCUAGUAGUC
rnacentral:rRNA from 1 species